GACAGAGGGUGCAAACGUUGUUCGGAAUUACUGGGCGUAAAGCGAGUGUAGGCGGUCCGAAAAGUCGGGUGUGAAAGCCCUGGGCUCAACCCGGGAAGUGCACUCGAAACUGCCGGGCUAGAGUACUGGAGAGGUUGGUGGAAUUCUCGGUGUAGAGGUGAAAUUCGUAGAUAUCGAGAGGAACACCGGUGGCGAAGGCGGCCAACUGGACAGAUACUGACGCUGAGACUCGAAAGCGUGGGGGGCAAACAGG
rnacentral:rRNA from 1 species